rnacentral:rRNA from 1 species
GAUGAACGCUGGCGGCGCGCCUAACACAUGCAAGUCGAACGGUUAAAGCACCUUUUAGGUGUGUAUAAAGUGGCGAACGGCUGAGUAACACGUGGGCAACCUGCCCUCCUCUUGGGGAUAGCCUCGGGAAACCGAGGAUAAUACCCGAUACUUCAAUGUGGCCGCAUGACGACAUUGAGAAAGCUUUUGCGGAGAAGGAUGGGCCCGCGGCCUGUUAGCUUGUUGGUGGGGUAGAGGCCUACCAAGGCAAUGAUGGGUAGCUGGGUUGAGAGACCGACCAGCCAGAUUGGGACUGAGACACGGCCCAGACUCCUACGGGAGGCAGCAGUGGGGAAUCUUGCACAAUGGGCGAAAGCCUGAUGCAGCGACGCCGCGUGCGGGAAGAAGGCCUUCGGGUUGUAAACCGCUUUCAGCAGGGACGAGGCGAAAGUGACGGUACCUGCAGAAGAAGCCCCGGCUAACUACGUGCCAGCAGCCGCGGUAAUACGUAGGGGGCAAGCGUUAUCCGGAUUCAUUGGGCGUAAAGCGCUCGUAGGCGGUCUGUUAGGUCGGGAGUUAAAUCCGGAGGCUCAACCUCCGCCCGCUCCCGAUACCGGCAGACUUGAGUUUGGUAGGGGAAGGUGGAAUUCCUAGUGUAGCGGUGGAAUGCGCAGAUAUUAGGAAGAACACCAGUGGCGAAGGCGGCCUUCUGGGCCAUAACUGACGCUGAGGGGCGAAAGCUAGGGGAGCAAACAGG